rnacentral:rRNA from 1 species
UACGGAGGGUGCAAGCGUUAUCCGGAAUCACUGGGUUUAAAGGGUGCGUAGGCGGUCUGAUAAGUCAGUUGUGAAAUUCCCCGGCUUAACCGGGUGGACUGCGAUUGAUACUGUUGGACUUGAAUCAGGUUGAGGUAGGCGGAAUGUGACAUGUAGCGGUGAAAUGCUUAGAUAUGUCAUAGAACACCGAUUGCGAAGGCAGCUUGCUGGGCUUCGAUUGACGCUGAGGCACGAAAGCGUGGGGAGCAAACAGG